GCGGGGCACGUGGAACCCUGCUGGAAUCCACCGGGACCAUCCGGUAAGGCUAAAUACUCGUUAGCGACCGAUAGUGAACAAGUACCGUGAGGGAAAGGUGAAAAGCACCCCUGCGAGGGGAGUGAAAUAGUACCUGAAACCGCAUGCCUACAAGCAGUGGGAGGGCGUUAAUGCCUGACCUCGUGCCUAUUGAAUAAUGAGCUGGCUAGUUAAUCUCAGUGGCAAGGUUAAGCGGAAGCGAGCCGAAGCGAAAGCGAGUCUGAAUAGGGCGAUUCAGUCGCUGGGAUUAGACGCGAAGCGGGGUGAUCUAUCCUUGGCCAGGAUGAAAUUCGUGUAACAGCGAAUGGAGGUCCGAACCAGUGUUGGUUGAAAACAGCUUGGAUGAGCUGAGGAUAGGGGUGAAAGGCUAAUCAAAACUCCGUGAUAGCUCGUUCUCUCCGAAAUAGCUUUAGGGCUAGCCUCGCGUGGUCCGCCUCGGCGGUAGAGAACUGAUUGAACUA
rnacentral:rRNA from 1 species